AAGACUUUAGAUAUGAUCCAGAGUACCACGGGACACGUGAAACCCUGUGGGAAGCAGGAGGGACCACCCUCCAAGGCUAAAUACUACCUAGUGACCGAUAGCGUAUAGUACCGUGAGGGAAAGGUGAAAAGAACCCCGGGAGGGGAGUGAAAUAGAACCUGAAACCCUGCACUUACAAGCUGUGGAAGCACAUUUCUUGUGUGACCGCGUACUUUUUGUAGAACGGGCCAACGAGUUACGUUAAGUAGCAAGGUUAAGCACUUAAGGUGCGGAGCCGUAGCGAAAGCGAGUUUUAACUGAGCGUUCAGUUACUUGACGUAGACCCGAAACCGGGCGACCUACCCAUGAGCAGGAUGAAGCGAAAGUAAAAUUUCGUGGAGGUCCGAACCCACGGGCGUUGAAAAGCUCGGGGAUGACUUGUGGGUAGCGGUGAAAUUCCAAUCGAGCCCGGAGAUAGCUGGUUCUCCCCGAAAUAGCUUUAGGGCUAGCCUCAAGGUGAGAGAUACGGAGGUAGAGCACUG
rnacentral:rRNA from 1 species